rnacentral:rRNA from 1 species
ACUCCUACGGGAGGCAGCAGUGGGAAUCUUGCGCAAUGCGCGACAGCGUGACGCAGCAACACCGCGUGGGGGGAAGAAGGCCUUCGGGUUGUAAACCCCUUUCAGGAGGGACGAAGGCCGGCCGGCGAAUAGCCGUGUCGGCUGACGGUACCUCCACAAGAAGCCCCGGCUAACUACGUGCCAGCAGCCGCGGUAAUCACGUAGGGGGCAAGCGUUGGUCC